GUUGAAACACCCGUUCCUAUGCAAUCACCGAAGUUAAGCAAAGUCGAGCCUGGUCAGUACCUGGAUGAGUGACCGCAUGCGAAUACCAGAUGCUGUAAG